rnacentral:rRNA from 1 species
AGGGUGACUUAGCGGCGGACGGGUGAGUAACGCGUGGGCAACCUGCCUUACACAGGGGAUAACAAUUAGAAAUGAUUGCUAAUACCGCAUAAGACCCCGGUACCGCAUGGUACAGGGUAAAAACUGAGGUGGUGUAAGAUGGGCCCGCGUCUGAUUAGGUAGUUGGUGGGGUAGAAGCCUACCAAGCCGACGAUCAGUAGCCGACCUGAGAGGGCGACCGGCCACAUUGGGACUGAGACACGGCCCAAACUCCUACGGAAGGCAGCAG